CCGGAACCCAUGUUUCUUAGGAACAUUUAUUGCAGACGGACGCAGUGUUUGGAUGUAACUAAACUUGGCUAAAAACGACGGAGGAACAUCUCUUUUCCCUUUCCCGGCGAGCCGUCGACGAAGCCGCGGCGUGAUCGCCAGAACGUCGGCCGGCAGACACAGAAUAAGUUCCCAAAUGUUGGCGUGAGCUCAGCUGCAGUUGGCCCAACUGAAAUUUCAACGGUUUGAAGUCAGACUGAAGACUUCAAAUGUCAGGAGAUGCUCGAUGACCUCCAGCCAUCAAAACUUCAAAAUAAAAGACACGGAAUAAAGUCCGAGAGCCCAAAAUCAACUUUGAGAAAGUGAGGAAGAAAAGUCCAAGAAAAUCCGGAGCAAGCUUUCCUUUUGCUAACCGGACAGAAGCGGAGACUGCGUCACAGCUUAAAGCCAAGCUCCCGAAACCCGAGGAAGCAGGCUGCCGGAGACAGCGAGUCGGGGAGGUCCGAAGCGGGACAAAAGCGUGUUGUCCAGACGUAGUCUCGAGUGCAGUUGCCCGGAGAAUAUUUACCGAACCCUGCACGCUGCACGAGAGUUCAGUCUGGUUUGGUCGCAUUGCUCGGUGUGCGGCAUGAGGCUCAAGUUUACUAGGCUGAGGUCUUCUGAGACGUAAGAUUCCCAGGAAGCCGAAAGUCUUGAUGGUUGAGACGAGACAGUUGGACAGCGUGAGGGGCAGCUGCGGUGAAGGAUGCCUCCUGAAGUCCACACUCAUCUCCACAGUCUUUAGUCCAUUCGGCUCCUGGUUGCGUUCCAGUCUCUCCGCUUCCCGCGAAUACGCAGACGCGUCACAGUCUUUGAUGAGGCUGAUGACUGUGGUGUCAGGAUUUUGACAGCCAGGUGCUUUGAGUGGCAGUCGUUUGUGUCGAGCGAGGAGAGCAGCGGGGAGAGGACACAACCUUGGGGUGCGCCAGUGCUAAUGACGCGAGAUCCCGGGUUUCUUUGGGACCGGGAUGACGUUUGAAGCAGGGUGGCUUCUUCGCACAGUUUGAGAGAUCCGCUUGAAAAUGUUUGUGAAGACUGCAGCAAGGUUGGUCCGACGGAGACGCAAGGUUUGGGCCCACCGCUUUGUUAAACUUGUGUCGUUCGAAGGUGCAGCUCGAAGCGGUCGGGGGUGCGACUUGGUGGGUGUGUCAAGUGAAAGUGUCCUUUUCAAAUCUGCGGUAAAAGCUACCGGACAAUAUUGAAACCGGUUUAACAUUUACGUCAUUUUCCAAGCAGAGAGUAAAAACCACUCUUCAAACGUGCAAUGUUCAGGCUUUUCGUUUGACGGGAGGAAAUUUGCCCAAAUUCCUCCCGAUUGUCGUUAUGUCAGCACCCUUUGACCGGAAUCGCAACGCAGCCCACUCGGUUGUCUUUCGCUUUGCGUCCGACGAAGUGGGCGCCGACAGACUCGGCCGUCACGCCUCUCGCUGACUGCGUGUGGCGAGCUGCAGUCAUAACAUGCAUUUUUCAUCGGUCGCUGCGGUCUAUGACGACAAGUGCGGCCGCGGUUUUCCGUGCGCGUCUGUUCUCCGCACGCACGCAAGCGGACAAGUCGCGGCUUCCUGGUGAGUUUCGCUGAACUGACCCGAGUCGUUAUACUGUCACUUCGGCUUUAGUUUAACUCGCUGAAUGUUUCCAAGCAGGCGGUUAUGGGCCACUUAGCGAGCCGCUAACACUUAACGUUCCCGUCGGAGAGAAGUGCAGCCUUCCACGGUGGGGCAAAAAAAGUAUUUAGUCCCCCGCUUGAAAAGAUGAGCGAGGCCUGUCAUUUUCAUCAUAGGGAUGCCUCACCUAUGACAGACAAAAUGAGAAAAAGAAAAUCCAGGAAAAAAAAUACCCUCAUGUUUGGCCACCUGCAAACAAAUCAGGUUUCUGGGUCUCGCAGAUUUGUAAAGUCUUCCUUAAGAGGCUCCUCUUUCCUCCACGCGUUACCUGUUUGAGUUUGUUAUCAGUACAAAAGACACCUGUCCACAACCUCAGUCCCACUCCAAAGUCCACAGUGGCCGAGACCAAAGAGCUGCCAAAGGACGCCUGAACCAAAAUGAAGACCUGCACAUGCCUGGAAAAACCAAAUCUGCAACAGGUGAAGAAAUCAAUUGUGGGAGCAAUUGUUGGAAAAUGGAAGACAUACAAAUCCGCCUAGAAGAUCCCUCGAUCUGGGGAUCCACACAAGAAAGAGGACCAAAUGAUCACGAGAACGGUGAGCAACAGUCCCGGGACCCCGUGAAUGACCUGUAUUGAGUGGGAACCAAAGUAACAAAGGCUCCCAUUGGUGCCAAACUUCCCGGCCAGGGACUCAAAUCCUGUCCCUCUGCUUAAGCCAGUACAUGUCCAGGCCCGUCUGAAGUUGGCAAGAGAGCAUUUGGAUGAGCCUGAAGAGGAUUCAGAGAAUGAAACCAGAAUCAAAUUUUUGGCUCAAAACGCAUUUAGGGGAGAAAGAACACCGUCACUACCGUGAAGCGUGGGGGCGGAAACAUCGGGCCUCGGGGCUGUUUUUCUGCAGCGGGACGAGAGCGACUGAUCCGUGUCCAGGAAAGAAUCAGUGGGGCCAUGCGUGUCGGGUGAGAUGUAACCAAUCGAUGGGGUCAACGCCUCUCGGUUGCCCCCCCCCGAGACGCGGAAAUCUCCGAGCUCAGCGUAACUGAGCGGUACGGGUAUUCUAUUCCUUGUAAUCGGUAUUUGAAUGGAUUUUUGAUUCCUAGCCAGGGAACGCUGUACUUUCAAAUGGUCGAUUUGAUCAUUUCAAGCAUUUUUAAUAAGUU